rnacentral:rRNA from 1 species
GAGGACCGGUGAGGAAAGGUGACCUCUGACUCAAGUUGCCGCAGAGAGACGAGUCUGCGUACCAUUAGCUAGUUGGUGGGGUAAGGGCUCACCAAGGCGAUGAUGGUUAGCGGGUCUGAGAGGAUGAUCCGCCACACUGGAACUGGAACACGGACCAGACUCCUACGGGAGGCAGCAGUGAGGAAUUUUGCGCAAUGGGGGAAACCCUGACGCAGCGACGCCGCGUGGGUGACGAAGGCCUUCGGGUCGUAAAGCCCUGUCAGGUGGGAAUAAGUGCCGGGUGGUUAAUAUCCAUUCGGUUUGACGGUACCACCAGAGGAAGCACCGGCUAACUCCGUGCCAGCAGCCGCGGUAAUACGGAGGGUGCGAGCGUUGUUCGGAAUCACUGGGCGUAAAGGGCGCGUAGGCGGCUGCGCAAGUCGGAUGUGAAAGCCCACGGCUUAACCGUGGAAUUGCAUCUGAAACUGCGUGGCUUGAGUAUGGGAGAGGAAAGUGGAAUUCCCGGUGUAGAGGUGAAAUUCGUAGAUAUCGGGAGGAACACCAGUAGCGAAGGCGACUUUCUGGCCCAAUACUGACGCUGAGGCGCGAAAGCGUGGGGAGCAAACAGGAUUAGAUACCCUGGUAGUCCACAGCUGUAAACGAUGUGCACUAUGUGUAGGGGGAGUUGACCCCCUCUGUGCCGCAGCUAACGCAUUAAGUGCACCGCCUGGGGAGUACGGCCGCAAGGUUAAAACUCAAAAGGAAUUGACGGGGGCCCGCACAAGCGGUGGAGUAUGUGGUUUAAUUCGACGCAACGCGCA